GUCGAUCGCGGCCAUGUUUGUUUUUUCGCUGUCAUGUUUCGUAUACGAUUGUCGAGCCUAUUUUUGUGAAUUUUUGAUUAAAUUAUUAAAUUUCAAAAUAUUAAAAGGUAUAAAUAUAAAUAUAACCAUUCCUACGAAGGCCGGAUCAGCGAUUGUUUUCUUCUAUCGGAUGCUUGAGUUGUGGAAUCUGGACCACACAAGUAAUAUACCAAGGAUACUGACUGGAAACCAUAAGCGAUUAUCACCAAUAAUGUACUCAAUCCAUCGCAUCGAUUAGCCCUGCUAAAACUUUCAUCCUUCGUCAUGCCGCGGCCGGCAUGCCGGUGCGCUCCGAACAUUCUGGUGCAUACCCGAUAUUCGUGCUAACUAACCACGACUAUAUAUAGUGGAUUCCAAAAUAUAAUUUUUGAAGUUCCGUCGGCUAUCGCGAACCCGUUGGUAGUAUUCAUCUUUUGGCAGUUUAUUUGAGGCAUCCGGAGGAGGAAUCGGCUUCAGUGAACUGCUUCUAGAAAAUGCUAGGAUAUAAGGCAAGACAAUCAGCAGUACUGGAUCGUCGGAAGAGUAUUUCUUCGAACCACAAGAUUCUGGUUCGAAAAAUGGCAAUUCACAGAAGGACUCAAACGACAACAUACAGUUCGGUGUCCUUCGGAGGGAAGCAUGUAAGGAACGAAUGGAACAGCAAGUAUCCGGAGGUAUAUGCAGAAUUGAUCAUAGCAGAGGUCGGCAUUUGAUUCAGUCACCGAAGACAAAUCCAAAUUAUCUUCACCGCGAUCCAGCUUCUCCGGUUCCCCUUAGACGUCGCACGUCGCUCAAAUCCCGAACCGGUUAAUCUAAAACAUAAAAAGCCAUCAAGCGUGAAAUUCAUCCGCAAUCGCAUCGGCUUUUGCAAGUGAAUAUCCGGACAUUCAUCGAACGCAACAACGCUAGAUCAUCCAACGCCACAAAUUUCGGAAUUAAUCCUAUAAAGGAAAUCUCUAAAAUGAGCAGUCUCAAGGAGAACCAUGUUGAAGGACACCGGGUUUGAAUCAAGAUUACUUCGAUUUCUUAAGGCUGAAAAAAAUGUACUAUCCACGUGUAUUGUGCGCAUGCAUGAAUUAUAAUACAACUCAGGAACCGCGUGGAGGUUUUUUUAAUCUUAAAAUUAAGUAACCAACUAUGGAGGUGAUUAAUGUAUAUAAAAUUUGGAGAGUUGUUACAUUGACAAGAUGCAACAUCUUAAAAGUAUAAGUAGCCGAAUAUCUUGAAACAUCUUAAAAAUAACUUCCACACUAAGUUAUGUCUUACUUAUUUUUUUAUGUCUUUACGUUAGGCUUCAACUUGAAAUGAAAUCUAAACAAAUGUAAUUAGAAUUAUGUUUAACUAAGAAAAUAAAUAAUAUAACUUAAAAACAAAAA